rnacentral:rRNA from 1 species
GUGCCAGCCGCCGCGGUAAUACAGAGGCCUCGAGCGUUAGGCGGAAUCACUGGGCUUAAAGCGUGUGUAGGCGGACUUCUAAGUACCUUGUGAAAUCCCACAGCUUAACUGUGGAACUGCUUGGUAUACUGGUUGUCUUGAGGUACCUAGGGGCGAGCGGAACAAGUGGUGGAGCGGUGAAAUGCGUAGAUAUCACUUGGAACGCCAACGGUGAAAACAGCUCGCUGGGGGUAUCCUGACGCUGAGACACGAAAGCCAGGGGAGCAAACGGGAUUAGAUACCCCUGUAGUCC